rnacentral:rRNA from 1 species
AGAGUUUGAUCAUGGCUCAGAACGAACGUUAGCGGCGCGCCUAACACAUGCAAGUCGAACGCGACUGGGGGCAACUCCAGUUGAGUGGCGCACGGGUGAGUAACACGUAGGUAAUCUCCCCUCGAGUGGUGGAUAACCUUCCGAAAGGAGGGCUAAUACAGCAUAAGACCACGGCCUCGAAAGAGGCUGAGGUCAAAGUGGAGGAUCGCAAGACUUCACGCUUGAGGAUGAGCCUGCGGCCCAUCAGGUAGUUGGCGGAGUAAAAGCCCACCAAGCCUAAGACGGGUAGCUGGUCUGAGAGGAUGAUCAGCCACACUGGAACUGAGACACGGUCCAGACUCCUACGGGAGGCAGCAGUGGGGAAUCUUGCGCAAUGGACGAAAGUCUGACGCAGCGACGCCGCGUGGGUGAUGAAGGCCUUCGGGUUGUAAAGCCCUGUGGGGAGGGACGAAUAAGUUCCGGUUAAUACCCGGAGCGAUGACGGUACCUCCUUAGCAAGCACCGGCUAACUCUGUGCCAGCAGCCGCGGUAAGACAGAGGGUGCAAACGUUGUUCGGAAUUACUGGGCGUAAAGCGCGUGUAGGCGGCCAUGCAAGUCGGAUGUGAAAGCCCUCGGCUCAACCGGGGAAGUGCACUCGAAACUGCAAGGCUAGAGUCUCGGAGAGGAUCGGAAUUCUCGGUGUAGAGGUGAAAUUCGUAGAUAUCGAGAGGAACACCGGUGGCGAAGGCGGCGAUCUGGACGAUGACUGACGCUGAGACGCGAAAGCGUGGGGAGCAAACAGGAUUAGAUACCCUAGUAGUCC